rnacentral:rRNA from 1 species
GCCUACGAGCUGCAGCAGUGGGGAAUAUUGGACAAUGGGCGAAAGCCUGAUCCAGCCAUGCCGCGUGUGUGAAGAAGGCCUUCGGGUUGUAAAGCACUUUCAGUGGGGAAGAAAGCCUUGGGGCUAAUACCCUCGAGGAAGGACAUCACCCACAGAAGAAGCACCGGCUAACUCCGUGCCAGCAGCCGCGGUAAUACGGAGGGUGCGAGCGUUAAUCGGAAUUACUGGGCGUAAAGCGCGCGUAGGCGGUCUGAUAAGCCGGUUGUGAAAGCCCCGGGCUCAACCUGGGAACGGCAUCCGGAACUGUCAGGCUAGAGUGCAGGAGAGGAAGGUAGAAUUCCCGGUGUAGCGGUGAAAUGCGUAGAGAUCGGGAGGAAUACCAGUGGCGAAGGCGGCCUUCUGGACUGACACUGACGCUGAGGUGCGAAAGCGUGGGUAGCAAACAGGAUUAGAUACCCUAGUAGUC